rnacentral:rRNA from 1 species
UCAGGCCUAAACACAUGCAAGUCGUACGGGAGUUUUUAACUCUAGUGGCGGACGGGUGAGUAACACGUAAGAAUUUGCCUUUAGGAGGGGGACAACAACUGGAAACGGUUGCUAAUACCCCAUAUGCUUUCGAGUGAAGUGGAUUUCCGCCUAAAGAGAAGCUUGCGGCUGAUUAGCUUGUUGGUGAGGUAAUGGCUCACCAAGGCGACGAUCAGUAUCUGGUUUGAGAGGACGAUCAGACACACUGGAACUGAGACACGGUCCAGACUCCUACGGGAGGCAGCAGUGGGGAAUUUUCCGCAAGGGGCGAAAGCCUGACGGAGCAA